CCCCGCCCUAGGGUAGCUCCCGAAAAGCCGGAACCCUACCGGCCCGGGCGGGGAUCAUUAUAGGG
rnacentral:sRNA from 1 species